GUGAAUCAUCGAAUUUUUGAACGCAAAUUGCGCCUUUUUCGGAAGGCAUGUCUGUUUGAGGGCACCAUUUAACAAAUAAUGUGCAUUUCGUGUUGACACGCUGAUGAGCUUUCCUAAAUUAUGUAUUAUUAUUUUUGGUGGCCCAUAAUAAACAGCGGGAUGCUUUUUUUAAGUUGGGGGUU
rnacentral:misc_RNA from 1 species